AUUGAACGCUGGCGGCAGGCCUAACACAUGCAAGUCGAACGAGUGGCGGACGGGUGAGUAAUGUCUUGGAAACUGCCCGAUGUAGGGGGAUAACUCCUGGAAACGGUAGCUAAUACCGCAUACCAUCGGAUGUUCCCCGAUGGGAUUAGCUUGUAGGGGGGGUAACGGCUCACCUAGGGGACGAUCCCUAGCUGGUAUGAGAGGAUGACCAGCCACAAUGGAACGGAGACACGGUCCAGACUCCUACGGGAGGCAGCAGUGGGGAAUAUUGCACAAUGGGCGCAAGCCUGAUGCAGCCAUGCCGCUUGUAUGAAGAAGGCCUUCGGGUUGUAAAGUACUUUCAGCGGGGAGGCGUUACCCGCAGAAGAAGCACCGGCUAACUCCGUGCCAGCAGCCGCGGUAAUAC
rnacentral:rRNA from 1 species